rnacentral:rRNA from 1 species
UACGUAGGUGACCAGCGUUGUCCGGAUUUACUGGGCGUAAAGCGUGCGCAGGCGGUUCGUUGUGUCGGCGGUGAAAGCCCCGGGCUCAACCUGGGAAUGGCCGUUGAAACUGGCGAACUGGAGUGUGGCAGAGGGGGGUGGAAUUCCGCGUGUAGCAGUGAAAUGCGUAGAGAUGCGGAGGAACACCGAUGGCGAAGGCAGCCCCCUGGGCUAACACUGACGCUCCGGCACGAAAGCGUGGGGAGCAAACAGG